AGCAAGGGAAUCUUUGCCCCAACCUCAGCCGCUGCAGCUCUCAAGCUCACCAGAAGCUGAUGGUCAGGUUUGCAGUGAGCUGAUGCCCUCUGCUGGAUACGAGGAGCUUCUGACUGAAAAGCUGCUCUUCUAGAGCAGGACCCCUACCAGGAGUGAACUGGGCAGCUCACAACAGACGGGUGUUACACAAAAUCUGCUCAAUGAAAUAGCAAGGAGAACUCACUGACUUUAUAGAAGAUGCUCACUUUUUGAUCAUGUUCUAAAUUGGAUGUGAAUUUUGCUCUGUGUGAAAGAUUGAUGCUGGAUUGAUGAGCUGAGGCCAACUGACCUUGAACAAGACCAGGUGCUGGGUCCUGCAUUUUGGCUACAACAACCCCAGGCAACACUACAGGCUUGGGGCAUUGUCUGGAAUGCUGCAUGGAGGAAAAGGACCUGGGGAUGUUGGUUGACACUGGGCUGAUCAUGAGCCAGCAGUGUGCCCAGGUGGCUAAGAAGGCCGAUGGCAUCCUGGCUUGUAUCAGAAAUGCUGCAGGCAGCCAGCAGGAGCAGGGAAGUGAUCACCUCUCUGUACUCAGCUCUGGUGAGGACAUACCUCCAGUACUGUGUUCAGUAUUGGACCCCUCACUACAAGAAAGACAUUGAGGCCCUGGAGCGUGUUCAGAGAAGGGCAAUGGAAGGGUCUGGAGCACAAGUGUUAUGAGGAGCGGCUGAGGGAACUGGGAUUGUUCAGUCUGGAGGAGGCUCAGCAGAGACCUUAUGGCUCUGUACAACUCUCUGAAAGGAGGUUGUGGUGAGGCAGAGGUCAGCCUCUUCUCCCAAAUAUCAGCAAUCAGAUGAGAGGGAAUGGCCUUAAGUUGUGCAAGGGGAGGUUCAGGUUGGAUAUUAGGAAGAAUUUCUUCUCUGAGAGAGUGGUGAGGCACUGGCACAGACUGCCAGGUAGGUGGUGGAGUCACCGUCUGUAAGAGAUUAUUCUUUUGUAUCAUUUGACUCAAAGUUUGCUGAGGAACAAGUCCAGGCAAGUCCUGGGCAAAGGCAGAGAAAUCUUUUGUCUUGAGGACACUGAUGGACAGGUCCUGGCUAAGGAUUGUGAAAUCCUCUAAGGAGCACAGAUGGACAAGGCCAGGGGCAACGAGAGAGAAGAUAAGCUGCUGCUAAUGGCCGGGAAACGGUCUUUUGUGUGGACUUAUCUCGAGGAAGAUGGCCAUCUCAGGAGGUAUGCCCAGGACUCUUGCUCAAGCACCCAGGAAUGUCACGUAGGCAGGAGAAAAUGGAGGAUAAAAGAGGGUCCAACAACCACGGCGAGGUAGAGGCUUAUCUCUCACCACGACAGACUUGAGGGGUUCUCUGCCAUCUGAUCCUUCACCGCAACGUGGAGAAUGAUCUCUCACCACGACACGAGCUUCCUGCCUUCAGAUCCUUCUCUACGGACCGUUUGCUGACGGACUUCCCUGGGCCUGCUACCUGAGACCUGCUGCUUCCUCCCUGACCUGCACCCUCUCGUUGCCCAAGACCGGCCUUGCUGCUCCUGCCCUUCGGCCUCGGACCGUCGGAACAUCGUGCAACGGGACUGCUGCCGGAUCCUGGUGGUGACUAUCCCCGCUUUA
ensembl:lncRNA